AACUUCGGGAAAAGGAUUGGCUCUAAGGGUUGAGUGGAUGAAGCCAUUGUUUUGAAGUCUGGCUCUUGUGAGCGUAUCUAUUUCGGAUGAGCUUCGGCUUGACUGAGACGGACAGCUUGUGAGGAUUAGAUGAACGAAUAGUGGUUGUUCUUUAGAUUGUAGCAAUAUGGUUUAAAGACUUCACCGCGCAGAACAACCAACUUAGAACUGGAGCGGACAAAGGGAAUCCGACUGUUUAAUUAAAA
rnacentral:rRNA from 1 species